rnacentral:tRNA from 1 species
CGGGACGUGGCGCAAUUUGGUAGCGCGCCGGUCUGGGGGACCGGAGGUUGCGGGUUCGAAUCCCGUCAUCCCGA